GGAGAAGGUAUUGUUACUGGAAAAAAAAAAAAAAAACUGCACAGAAAUGGUUUUCAUUUCACACUUGAAAGAAAGGGAAAGUUAACUUCACAGACUCUCUGUGUUCCAGCCAACCUGUUCAGUUCAAUGAGGACCGAUUGAAGCUCAUCUGCAAGGAUCCAGGCCAUUCCAAUAUGAAAUUGGCCCCAGCAGAUGAGAUGCCUUAUGAUACCAUCACCUUCACUCGAUAGAAUUAAAAUAAAUGGAAAAAAAAAAAAAAUUUAUCCGUCAACCCAAUAUAUAUAUAUAUAUCUCAAUGUACAUAUAAAUAUACAUAUAAGCAUGGUCUUUACACUAGUUUAUUUUUACCAAGCUGCAAGGGUUAAACGGAUAUAUUAACAAAAUACUGUUUUUAUGGGUGGAUGCCUUUUCCUGUCUCUAACCCUUCCUUACAUGUUUUUCAAGCCAGAGGUCUCUUCUUUUACAUGUCUUAGAAGAUGAGAAGCAAACGGAUAAUUUGUAGACACAUGAGAAAACACGUCAUAGCUUGCAAAUGUAAACAAACAUAUAUAUAUAUAUACAUGCUUUUAUAUAUAUGUAUAUAUAAAUACAUGUAUGUAUGUGUGAGAAGUUUGCUUUCCAACCACGUGGUUUCAGGUUCAAUCCCAUUGUGUGCUACCUUGGACAAGUGUCUUCUACUAUAGGUCCAAGCUGACCAAAACUGUGUGGAUUUGGUGUACGUGUGUCCAUGUAAAUGAGUGUCAGUCAUACAAAGUGUUGUUCAUUUGCAAUAUUUUGUAGAAACAUGUCUGGUCAUGGGGAAAUAUUAGUUUCUGUGGCAACAGGAAAGGUAUCUAGCUACAGAAAAACCUGUUUCAAUAGACUACAUCUAACCCAUGCAAACAUAGUAAAGUGGAUGUUAAAACAAUGAUGAUAUAUACAUAUCUACACACAUACAAACAUGUAAAUAUAUAAUGAUAUAUGACAUAGCUGAAACAACAGACUGUAGAAACAGAUGCUCAAUGCUCAGGUUGAGAGUUCAAACCCUGAAGUCAGCAAUGCAUUUCUUCCCAUGGAAAUGGGAGAGGAUAGAAUAAGUACCAGUUUUAUACCAAGGUUUAAAAACAAUAAACCACAUACAAUUCACGGUCUGUGCCAUAUACACCCUUGCUUAAAGACAAGCUUACAUAUUUAUUACACAUGCGGGUAUAUACAUGUGUGUUCUUUAGAUUUGUUUUACCCAUAACAAAGGCCAUACUGGAGCAAUAUUAUCUAUACAUGGUAUCCAGAUAGGAUCAAAAUCUUUUGAUGAAACAUUCUCCAGGGCACAGUUGAAGGAGGGUGACGGAGAGGAAGAGAGAAAAUUCUGGUUUGACAAUAUUAAGGACUGGACAAGUUGCAGCACAGUAAACCUCCUCUGCAUGACAAGAGAAAAGGGACCAGUGGCAACAACUAUGAAAGUGUUUGCAGACAGGCACUCCAACAACUGGAUGUAGCAGUUAAUGGAUUUUGAUCAUUAUAUAUAUAUAUAUACACACACACAUAUAAUCAUCAUUUAGCAUCUCUUUUUUUCACGCUGAUAUCGGUUGGACAGUUCAAUAUGAACUGACGAUCCAGAGGGUUGCAAACAUUGGAACAGCCGGAUGCUGUAAGGUCGCCAAGUACUUGCAACACAAGACACUUCACCCUCGAAUGAGUGCAGCAACAGUAUGGAUGAAUAUGAAAAUACAAUAGAGGGACACAAGUGGACAGGUGGUUGCAAUUGUCAUUAAAUCACUUAUAGAGUUAUGAGUUCAUCCCUUUGCAAUUACUUGCCCCCUUUUUAUUUUAUCUCUCUCACUCUCUAAUAAUUACCUGCACACACACACAUAUACAUACAAACAUUUAUAAUAGUUGCCUGUAUGUGUGCAAGAGGAAUCAUACACAAUAUUCAGUUUCUGUUACACACACACUUGUUUGAGUGUCCCAAGCAGGACUUAAAACUGCGUCUAGUGGGUCCCUUUUUAAAGAGUAUAUAACACCAAACCCUUGGCCACUAUUUGUUCCUAGGUCAAAUGUGAUCUGGAGUAAUAACUACUCUUUAGGGUCCCAGCUAUGGGUUAAUUAGAAUGUGAAUCACUGGCGAGUGAAAGAGCCCCUAGGUCUGGAUAGGACUUCCUUCGACGAGAAGGUAAACUCAUGCAAAAAAAAAAAAAACACCCUGCAGUGCAGUGUCUCUGUUGUGCCUCUGAUGUUAUAGUUGUUUGCACUAAAAAGGGGGUUCAGUAGUGUGCAACACUGAACCCACUCAAAACAAAUCCACACACACACACAUUCAUACAUACAUACAUACACACACACAUAUAUAUAUAUAUAGUUAGCAACAAGUAAAUUCCAUACACACAAAGUGGAUCAGUUUUUUUGAGGUCACUUGUUUCAUGAGUUCUAAUCCUAAAUUAAUUUUUUAACCUUACGUUUCAGCUAAGUUCCCAGCAACUGUGAUGGUUUUGAGAGUCAUCAGCAACGAGAGGUGUCAUGUUGCUGUCUACUGAGAGGUAUUGGAAGAUAGUUGCAAGGCCCUGGACAGAGGGGGUACACAACAGAAGAUCAUACGUCUUCCAACAAAACUCUGCACUGUCUCACAAGGCUAGGACAACCCAACCAUGGAUGCAUGCCAUCUCCAUGAUCAUCUUCUCCAAGGCACAUGACCUUCUAGCUCACCAGACGUCACUCCACUGUACUAUCAUUACAUGUGGGGUAUAUUCAAGAGGUCAGUCAGCACUCCUAUACAAUCUCUCAAGUCCACAAUAACCAGUGUUAUGUCCAAACUUGAUAAGGAUCAUCUAAUUAGGGCAUAUCAAUGCUUCCAACCCCUUACUCAAGCAACCAUUGAUACUAAAACGGAACUCAAUGAAUAGACUUGACACUAGGCUGGAAGUGGAUCGGUCGAUUACAUCAACCCCAGUGCACAACUGGUACUUGUUUUAUUGACCCUGAAAGGAUGAGAGGCAAAGUCGACCUUGGCGGAAUUUGAACUCAGAACGUAAAGACAGAUAAAAUGCAACUAAGCAUUUUGUCCAGCGUGGUUAUGAUUCUGCCACCUUGCCAUCAAGUAUAAUAAUAAUAAUAAUAAUAAUAAUAAUAAUAAUAAUAAAAUGAAUGAAAAAAAUUAGGUGAAUGGAACAGAUGAAAAUAACUGACUUUGGAUAAAUGGAAGGCAAAAUGGAAUUAUAUGACGUGAAGAGGAAAUAGAAGAGGAGGAUAUAGUGAGGACGUGGGAAGGGGUGGAAGAGGUAUAAUGAAAAUUGGAGAGGAGGGGGGGUAAGUGGAGGGGGAGGAGCUAGAAGAGAAAGUGGGCCGAGUGGGGUUUGGUGAUAUUAUGGUGAGAAGACUGGCAAUCGUUCCAGUUUCUGUCUGUUGGCUUCGGUGUCCGCCCGCGCCAGGUAGAGGGAGUGGCCGUAGCCGCAUGCGAUGCCAUGGAUAUAGAUGCCGUCCAAAGUCUUGACCUCCUGCGGCACUGUAGAGGAGUGAGGCUUGUUUUCUCCGUAACCCUGAAAAUAUUCAAAAGAAAAAGGGGGAAAAAACCUCCGAUGAGCAAUGAAAGAUAGGAGGAGGAGAAUGAUAGACAGACACAGAGAAGGGAAGGAGGAAAAGAGAGAGGAACAGAGGCAGAGGCAUGGCUGUGUGGUUAAGAAGCAGGUUUUGCAAUCAUGUAAUUUCAUGUUCAGUCCCACUGUACGGCACCUUGGGCAAAUGUCUUUUAUUAUGACCCUAGGCCAACCAAAGGUGCUUAAGUGAUUUGAGUCUUUCAUCAGAAUUUCCCCUUCAUUUAUGUUGCACAUCUGCUAAAUUUUUCAAUAUUUUCAAAAAUUAAUUGAAGAGAAGUGUUUUUCAACAAAAAUGUGGUUAAGAAACAGAUUUAAGUGUUCUAAAUUAAAGCCUUCAAUCAAAAUUUCAUGUUGAUUUGAGUUCCAAACACCAGCUUCUUAAUAAUGACAAAAUUAAUUUACAAAACUUCAUUAUUUUUAAAAUCAAGAAACAUAAGCAGUGCAUUUCAAUAAAAAAUGGUAACAAAAGGAUUAUUAACCUUUUAGCAUUCAGAUUUCUUUGUCAGAUGUAUUGCUUAUUUAUUCACAUUGUUUUGAAUUGAUUACAGGUUAUUUUGUAUCCCCAAAAUUUCAUUGAUGUGUUUGUAUAUUUUUAGAGUGAUAUUGCAGAGCAACUGUGAGAGGUUAGAUCUGGUCAGUUUUAACAAAACAGGGGAAAUAUUUGGCCCAGAUAUGGCCAGUUUAAAUGCUAAAGGGUUAAAGAGUUUUAAAUAAAAAACCUUCCAUCAAAA